rnacentral:rRNA from 1 species
ACUCCUGCGGGAGGCAGCAGUAGGGAAUCUUCCACAAUGGGUGCAAACCUGAUGGAGCAAUGCCGCGUGAGUGAAGAAGGUCUUCGGAUCGUAAAGCUCUGUUGUUAGAGAAGAACACGUGCUAGGUAACUACUAGCGCCUUGACGGUAUCUAACCAGAAAGUCACGGCUAACUACGUGCCAGCAGCAGCGGUAAUACGUAGGUGACAAGCGUUGUCCGGAUUUAUUGGGCGUAAAGGGAGCGCAGGCGGUCUGUUUAGUCUAAUGUGAAAGCCCACGGCUUAACCGUGGAACGGCAUUGGAAACUGACAGACUUGAAUGUAGAAGAGGAAAAUGGAAUUCCAAGUGUAGCGGUGGAAUGCGUAGAUAUUUGGAGGAACACCAGUGGCGAAGGCGAUUUUCUGGUCUAACAUUGACGCUGAGGCUCGAAAGCGUGGGGAGCGAACAGGAUUAGAAACCCUUGUAGUCCCA